ACCACGAUGAAGUAUUUCGGUACGUAAAGUUCUUUUAUUAGGGAAGAAAAGAUGGUGGAAAAACCAUUAUGACGGUACCUAAUGAAUAAGCCCCGGCUAACUAUGUGCCAGCAGCCGCGGUAAUACAUAGGGGGCAAGCGUUAUCCGGAAUUAUUGGGCGUAAAGGGUGCGUAGGCGGUUAAAUAAGUUUAUGGUCUAAGUGCAACGCUCAACGUUGUGAUGCUAUAAAAACUGUUUAGCUAGAGUUGGAUAGAGGCAAGUGGAAUUCCGUGUGUAGUGGUAAAAUGCGUAAAUAUACGGAGGAACACCAGAAGCGAAGGCGGCUUGCUGGGUCUUAACUGACGCUGAGGCACGAAAGCGUGGGGAGCAAACAGGAUUAGAUACCCUGGUAGUCCACGCCCUAAACGAUGAGUACUAAACGUUGGAUAAAACCAGUGUUGAAGUUAACACAUUAAGUACUCCGCCUGAGUAGUACGUACGCAAGUAUGAAACUUAAAGGAAUUGACGGGACUCCGCACAAGCGGUGGAUCAUGUUGUUUAAUUCGAAGGUACCCGAAAAACCUCACCAGGUCUUGACAUGCUUUUGCAAAGCUGUAGAAAUACAGUGGAGGUUAUCAGAAGCACAGGUGGUGCAUGGUUGUCGUCAGCUCGUGUCGUGAGAUGUUGGGUUAAGUCCCGCAACGAGCGCAACCCUUGUUGUUAAUUGCCAUCAUUAAGUUGGGGACUUUAGCAAGACUGCCAAUGAUAAAUUGGAGGAAGGUGGGGACGACGUCAAAUCAUCAUGCCCCUUAUGACCUGGGCUACAAACGUGAUACAAUGGCUGUUACAAAGAAA
rnacentral:rRNA from 1 species